GUCUAAUUUCUAUAUGCAUCCUGUUCAGUGGAAAUAAAACUACAAAAAGACCAUAAAACAAAGUACAAGGUAUUUGCAAAGGUAUGUUUCUUUGUAUAUAAAUACAUUUAAUAAUGGUUCCUCCUAUGAAUUUGGUUCUUAAUACAAGUCCUGUUGUGUUACAUUUUAUUAAUCAAUAUUGAUCCUUUAUUCUUUGUUUUAUUGGUGCAAUUUUGUUUCUGCUUUUUGAUUUAAAUUUACUGCUUUUGAUUUUAUGUAGGAUUCCAGCCAGAAAAAAUGGCUGAGAUGUGGCUUUGCUUUUCGUGCUGUAUGACAAGCAGUGGAACGUCAAAUAAGCGAAAACCAAGAAGAAGAAAGUUAGAUCCAAGUAUGAUUGGAGCUCCAGCAAACUUCCAACAUCUAAAUCAUAUUGGAUCUGGUGAAUCAGGAGGGGCAGAGAUGCAAGACAACAUGCAAAGCAAAGGAGGAUAUGAGUUUCGAACAGAAGUAACCGUCGAAAGAAAGUUAGCAGAAGUUAAAAGAGAUGCAUCCUAGUGAUUGAGGUGUCUUUCUUUACCUAUGCUUCCAUAAUCAGAUUUGUAUGCCAUGUAACUCUGGUCGAAAAACUGUCAUUGAACAGUGCAAUAUCCACCUAUCUUGAUUGAGCUGUACACCUUGUAUGUGCUUUAACUAUAUUUUACGACCUGCGUUAAUUGUUAUGAUUACUAUUUUAUUGUUUCUUACCGCCUUUGUGUCCUUAUUAAGUCCUCCCCAUGUAAAAGAAGCAUUGCUUUUGUUCCCUCGGUUUUUCAAGUGUUAAUAAGAUUAUUUUAAACAGGUGCAGUCUUUGUCUGAUAAUUCGCUCUUAAAAAUGCACAUUUUUGAUUGUCAAGUUGAAAUUACGAGAUUUUGUUUUGUGGUAGUGUGUACUGAAUGCGCACAAAACAACUUGUAAGCUUUAGAUCAAAGAAUUUGUACUUGUAUUUGCUCUACUUAGUUUCUCGUUAAAAAAAUUUCACUUUUCACCAUGUCCAAGAUUUUAAAAAACUGCAGUUAAAGCUAGGGAAUUCAUAUGAUUUGCACGUUCUCCCGUUUUCAGUGACAAUUACAUCAUUGCAUAUUUACACAACCAAAGCAGUUUUUCUUUAAAAAAAUAUAUUUUAUUCCAGCCAAUUUCACACAAUUUUUAGGCUCGAUCACAUUUCUUUAUUUUGUUUCCCACAGUCAACCUCAAAAAUGAACAAUGAUUUGUGUCUGUUACUUUUUUUCAUGAAUUUUACCCCAGGCCGUGUCUAAACGCACAUAGAUUUUUAUUUGUGUUGUACUAUACAGCAAUACAAAUGACUUAACCUGUAUAAUUUAAUUACCAAGCUUGAAUUUUAUAAUCCUACCUAUUAGAGUACAACUUUCAAUUUUCAUUCUCUAAAUAUUAUCAAACGUCAUUUUUUACAGAGAAUAUGUAUUUUUAUUGUAUAUAUUUACUGUUUCUUCCAAUCAAAACACUGGAAUAUGUGCUUUCAAACAAAUUGUGCCUUAUUCAAGUAACUUGAUAGUGUUCCCGUGCUUUUAAUUGGAAAAUGGACAAUUGUAUUAUGCGUUUGACAAUGCACCAAUGUGAUCGGUUUUCAGUAUUGUUUCGUCACCAUAUCGCAAUCGAUUCAGUCAUUACGUUUCAUUGUGAACUGACUGCACCCGCAUUCAACACUUUCAAACUUAAAUAUCAUACAUUUGCAUACCCACAGAAUAGUAUUAAAGAAUCUAAGAAUGUUACUGAAAAAGCAGAACAAAUUGUUAUUGGCACUGUAACUUAUUAUAUAAAAUGUUAUUGUUUGAGAACAUCAAAUAACUAGACUAAUGUUAUCCAAUACUUUACAUUACUUUUGUAUUCUUCCCUAACACGUACUAAAUGUUAACCCUUACAAGCCAUUCCAAUAAUUUUAAACAAAUUUUUUAAACCCCUAAUAUUUCCACAUUAGAUGUAAACUUGUUGGAGGUUUUUCAAAGGUGUGUUAACACCAUGUAGUGUAUUUCACCGGCUUUUUAAUGUAAAUGCUUGAGACUCUAGUUACUCAGACUUUUUUUGCAAUAAACUUUUGUUGCACUGCGA